rnacentral:tRNA from 1 species
CAGUCCUGCAGUGAAUGCACGUCGAAUUGCAAAUUCGAAAACGCCCCCCAGGGUGGCCCGGACU